GCCUCCGUAGCUCAGUUGGCUAGAGCAUCCGCCUUGUAAGCGGAAGGUCGUGGGUUCGAGUCCCACCGGAGGCU
rnacentral:tRNA from 1 species